AAGGAGACGAAGAAGCAGCAGGAGAAGGAACAGCAGAAAGACAAGACGCGAGAGAAAGAGAAAGAGAAAGAAAAAGAACGACAGAAAGACAAGGGCAAAGCCAAGAAAGGCUCCGUGCUCAAGGGCCUAGGAGACAUGUUCAGGUUUGGAAAGCAUCGUAAAGAUGAGCAGUUGGAGAGGCGGGGCUCCAGUAAGUGGCGUCCAGAUGAGACACAGGCGUCGGAGGAGGAGACCCAGCGCAUGAAACUGGAACAGGAGAGGAUCCAAGCUAAGACUCGUGAACUGAGGGAACGACAGGCUCGGGAGCGAGACUACACCGACAUCCUGGACUUCAGCGACACACACACACACACACUGACACGCACACACACUCCACACUCGAGUACGCGCUCCCCGCAGCCUGAUGACGAUCGACCGCUGGACGGCACACACACUCAUAUACAUGCUCACACACACUCUCACACACACACUCACACACACCCCAACAGCCCAGGAGAGGCUUCCAGAACCAACGGCCGUAUCACCUCCACUGACUGGUAGGGGGCGCUAAAGCACCACACAAUA